rnacentral:lncRNA from 1 species
GGCUGCGGGUGGCCCCCGUUUCACACCUGCAUGCUGGAGUGGGAGGGGGCCCGUGGGUUUCGUAAUCGGCCGCCGUGUCUCCCUCGCCCGGGCUGCGCCUCGUUCACUGCAGGCAGAACAAAGCUCUCGGUCGCACUGGUGCUUCCUGGCUUGUCGCCUCCUGCCUGCAAACCGCUGAGCGUCCCCCGUCCUCCUCCUUCCCUCCCCCGUCCCCUCCCCGCCUUGGUAUCAUCAUGCCGAAAGAGAGAAACGAGACGCGAUGAGCGAUUCAGGAAGCUGCUACUUUGGCGUGCCCAGCCUCCUGCUCGCCCAAAGAGUGAGUUUGGAGCCCUGCCCAGGCCUCUGACAAGGUGCUCGCAGCACAGAUACUGUUUGCGUGGAGGUGACUUCAAUUUUGUUCUUCAGAUUUGAAUACCUCAUCUCUUUCUGCCCUAACACUGAUCUUCUACUGCAAGGAUGUCACUGCAUCAGGGAUGAGGGGCUUGAUAGCCACCUGUAUGUAUGACUCCUGAACAAUGAUAUGAGGUCAGAAGAAUGAGCUUGAUCCCAAUCACAUUCAUAUCGAUACAAAUGGGUUUAACUUUAGCUGUGCAUGGAGAGAGGUAAUUUUAAAUGACAACUAAAUGAAGUCAGAGAACUUCACCAGUCAAUUCACUGGCAUCCAAAAUGCAGAGGGCAGACCUUCUAUGCAGAGAUGCUGAUCUAUACUGACUCAAGGACUACCUCUAUUCUUUUUUUUUUUUUUUUUUUAAACUUAAGCCUCAUCUUUUGAAUUUCCAGGCAUUUGGGCUUUUUCUGGUAAUUAUACUGCAGUAUUGUUGUACCUAGUUUUUUCUUAAAUAGAUUUGCAAAAACCUAGAAUCAUCUAUAGCAAAUCAGAGUUGUAUCUUUUAAUCUCUGAGAUGAUGUUUGGCGUGGAGGGGAUACAUGACUACGAAGUGGAUGUUGUAUGAACAUUUCUAUGCAAAAUAUAAAAUUACUUGAUUGCAUGUGGUUGAUGACUGGAAGCUGGAUCUGAUUACUUGAAUGAUCUCUUCCUGAGUUCCUAUAACUCAUUUCUAAUAUGGCUUGUGUCUCGAAUGCUUUUUUUAGCCAGGAGUUGCAUUACAUUGUGGGUAGCGCUCUCUCCCAUUUUUCUUUCCACUGAACACCAGUCUUUCAGUGACCCUUUCUGUCAGUUGUCUUUGUGCUUGGCUGUAUUGUAGAGAUGUGAAGAUCGUAAUAGGAAAUAAAAGAUAAGGGAAAGAUAAAACCUUUCCUUAU